rnacentral:sRNA from 1 species
UAAGAAGGAUCUUCUGCUAAUUACGUGCACGUCCUGUGCCCAACGCAGAAAUCACCACAUCCUGUGGG